UACGGAGGGUGCAAGCGUUGUUCGGAAUCACUGGGCGUAAAGCGCGUGUAGGCGGCCUUCUCAGUCUGGUGUGAAAGCCCGGGGCUCACCCCCGGAAGUGCAUUGGAUACUGGAAGGCUGGAGUACCGGAGAGGAGGGUGGAAUUCCUGGUGUAGCGGUGAAAUGCGUAGAUAUCAGGAGGAACACCAAUUGCGAAGGCAGCUCGCUGGGACGUUACUGACGCUGAGACGCGAAAGCGUGGGGAGCAAACAGG
rnacentral:rRNA from 1 species